rnacentral:misc_RNA from 1 species
UGUGGGAGCGAGCCUGCUCGCGAUGAGGCAGUGUCAGUCGACAUCUUAGUCGGCUGACCCUCUGCUAUCGCGAGCAGGCUCGCUCCCACA